GAUGAACGCUGGCGGCAUGCCUAACACAUGCAAGUCGAACGAGACCUUCGGGUCUAGUGGCGCACGGGUGCGUAACGCGUGGGAAUCUGCCCUUGGGUUCGGAAUAACAGUUAGAAAUGACUGCUAAUACCGGAUGAUGACUUCGGUCCAAAGAUUUAUCGCCCAAGGAUGAGCCCGCGUAGGAUUAGCUAGUUGGUAGGGUAAAGGCCUACCAAGGCGACGAUCCUUAGCUGGUCUGAGAGGAUGAUCAGCCACACUGGGACUGAGACACGGCCCAGACUCCUACGGGAGGCAGCAGUGGGGAAUAUUGGACAAUGGGCGAAAGCCUGAUCCAGCAAUGCCGCGUGAGUGAUGAAGGCCCUAGGGUUGUAAAGCUCUUUUACCCGGGAUGAUAAUGACAGUACCGGGAGAAUAAGCCCCGGCUAACUCCGUGCCAGCCGCCGCUGUAAUAC
rnacentral:rRNA from 1 species